GGGGGCGACUGGUUUCGACAUACUAGGUUUGAUAGAGGAAGCAGGUCGUGGUCUCCUCGCCACGUUAAACAGGGGUACAGUCAAUUUAAUUGGCAAACAGCAAUACGCACUCGCCGCCUAAUAGUGCUGCGACGUCAACCAGGUGUUUUUCUCCGCCACCUGCAAGACGCAACUCAGGGGAAUGCUCUGCUUGACGUAGUUGGUAUGCAAGCAGAAAAGAUUGAACCAGCUGGAGCUGGGCACGCAUGUUUGUAAGCCAGCCCAGACUUGAGAUUUGAUUACAGACUAAGCUUGUAGAUGCCUCUAAAGGAUUUAGUAUGGACCGGAGUUCGAUUCUCCGCGCCUCCACCA
rnacentral:tmRNA from 1 species